rnacentral:rRNA from 1 species
CAGCAGCCGCGGGAAUACGAAGGGGGCUAGCGUUGCUCGGAAUGACUGGGCGUAAAGGGCGCGUAGGCGGUUCACGCAGUCAGAUGUGAAAUUCCUGGGCUCAACCUGGGGGCUGCAUUUGAUACGCGCGGACUAGAGUGGGGAAGAGGGUCGUGGAAUUCCCAGUGUAGAGGUGAAAUUCGUAGAUAUUGGGAAGAACACCGGUGGCGAAGGCGGCGACCUGGUCCUUGACUGACGCUGAGGCGCGAAAGCGUGGGGAGCAAACAGGAUUAGAUACCCCAGUAGUCCCUGUCUCUUAUAC